rnacentral:rRNA from 1 species
UACGAAGGGUGCAAGCGUUACUCGGAAUUACUGGGCGUAAAGCGCACGUAGGCGGCUUUGUAAGUUAGAGGUGAAAGCCCGGGGCUCAACUCCGGAAUUGCCUUUAAGACUGCAUCGCUAGAAUUGUGGAGAGGUAAGUGGAAUUCCGAGUGUAGAGGUGAAAUUCGUAGAUAUUCGGAAGAACACCAGUGGCGAAGGCGACUUACUGGACACAUAUUGACGCUGAGGUGCGAAAGCGUGGGGAGCAAACAGG